GGGGAUGUGGCGGAAUUGGUAUACGCGCAUGUUUGAGGUGCAUGUGGGGCAACCCAUGAGAGUUCGAUUCUCUCCAUCCCCA
rnacentral:tRNA from 1 species